UACGGGGGGGGCAAGCGUUGUUCGGAAUUACUGGGCGUAAAGGGCUCGUAGGCGGCCAACUAAGUCAGACGUGAAAUCCCUCGGCUUAACCGGGGAACUGCAUCUGAUACUGGAUGGCUUGAGUUUGGGAGAGGGAUGCGGAAUUCCAGGUGUAGCGGUGAAAUGCGUAGAUAUCUGGAGGAACACCGGUGGCGAAGGCGGCAUCCUGGACCAACACUGACGCUGAGGAGUGAAAGCCAGGGGAGCAAACGGG
rnacentral:rRNA from 1 species